AUCACCUGGGGAUCUUGUUAGAAUGCAGAAGCUGACUCAGGUCUGGGGAGGGCUCCAUGUUUUGCAUUUCUAACAAGCUCCCAGGUGAUGCCUG
rnacentral:pre_miRNA from 1 species